GUGGAUGCAGCGCCGGACGCCACAACCGAAAAACAGAAUCUUGGAACUGGUUUAGUACAAUCCAGCCAACGAGUGGAUAAAGAAAAUGUGAUAUAUAUGCACUAUGGAAUACUAAGCCAUAAGAAGGAAUGAAAUAAUGGCAUUUGCAGCAACCUAGAUGGAGUUGGAGACCAUUAUUCUAAGUGAAGUAACUCAAGAAUGGAAAACCAAAUAUUGUAUGUUCUCACUCGUAAGUGGGAGCUAAGCUGUGAAGAUGCAAAGGCAUAAGAAUGAUAUAGUGGACUUUGAGGACUCAAGGGGUGAAGGAUGAGACUACACAUUGGGUACAGUGUGCACUGCUUGGGUGAUGAGUGCACCAAAAUCUCAGAACUCACCACUGAAGAACUUCCCCAUGUAACCAAAAACCACCUGUUCCACAAAAACUAUCGAAAUAACAUUUUUAAAACUUUACUAUUUCUGAAUAAAAUUUACAUACAUUUCUCAGAAAAAAAAAUAUUUGGAAUUGAGGUAUCUAAUAGAGAACUGAGUUAAAUUAUUGCCACUUAAAAACACAAAGUGAUAUAGCCACUUUAUGAAUUAAUCAGUCAGCAAUGGCUAGGUUAUGCUUAGUGGUUUAUAACCAAAUCUUAGUUUAUAACAACAAAUGUGUAUUGUUAAUUCCCACUACAAAUUUAUAACGACAUUGCUGGAUGCUACACUCCAUGUCUCUUUGUGGGACCCAGGCUCAUGGGACUUCUGUUAUCUGCAUUAGAGAGA
rnacentral:lncRNA from 1 species